UGGGGAAUAUUGCACAAUGGGCGAAAGCCUGAUGCAGCAACGCCGCGUGAGGGACGACGGCCUUCGGGUUGUAAACCUCUUUUAGUAGGGAAGAAGCGAAAGUGACGGUACCUGCAGAAAAAGCACCGGCUAACUACGUGCCAGCAGCCGCGGUAAUACGUAGGGUGCAAGCGUUAUCCGGAAUUAUUGGGCGUAAAGAGCUCGUAGGCGGUUUGUCGCGUCUGCUGUGAAAACCCGAGGCUCAACCUCGGGCCUGCAGUGGGUACGGGCAGACUAGAGUGCGGUAGGGGAGAUUGGAAUUCCUGGUGUAGCGGUGGAAUGCGCAGAUAUCAGGAGGAACACCGAUGGCGAAGGCAGAUCUCUGGGCCGUAACUGACGCUGAGGAGCGAAAGCAUGGGGAGCGAACA
rnacentral:rRNA from 1 species